UAAUACGAAGGGGGCUAGCGUUGCUCGGAAUUACUGGGCGUAAAGCGCACGUAGGCGGUUUCUUAAGUCGGGGGUGAAAUCCUGGAGCUCAACUCCAGAACUGCCUUCGAUACUGGGAAACUUGAGUUCGGGAGAGGUGAGUGGAACUGCGAGUGUAGAGGUGAAAUUCGUAGAUAUUCGCAAGAACACCAGUGGCGAAGGCG
rnacentral:rRNA from 1 species